GUGCUCGUUCCAGCAGCACAUAUACUAAAAUUAGAGCUAUACAGAGAAGAUUAGCAUGGCCCCUGCACAAGAAUGAGAUGCAAAUUCAUAAAGUGUUCCAUAUUUUU